AAAUAGCCCUGAUGGGAGUGGAAAUCCUUUUGCUUUUUUCUUUAAAAAGCAAAAGAUUUGGAGCGGACAGCAGGAACAUUU
rnacentral:sRNA from 1 species